rnacentral:tRNA from 2 species
UGGAGCGUGGCCAAGCGGUAAGGCACCUGUUUUUGGUGCAGGCAUGCGGAGGUUCGAAUCCUCCCGCUCCAGCCA